UCCAGCUGUUUUGGGACUACAAUUCCCAUCAUCCCUUACCACUGGUCCUGUUAGCUAGGGAUGAUGGAAAUUGUAGUCCCAAAAGAGCUGGA
rnacentral:miRNA from 1 species